UGCCACAGCAAUAUCACCCUGCAGCCCAAGACCGGUUACUCACUGAAGCUAAGCAGGGCUGAGCCUGGUCAGUACCUGGAUGGGAGGCCACAUGGGAAAACUCGGUUGCUUUUGGAU
rnacentral:rRNA from 1 species